rnacentral:rRNA from 1 species
UACGUAGGGGGCAAGCGUUGUCCGGAAUCAUUGGGCGUAAAGCGCGUGUAGGCGGCCCGGUAAGUCCGCUGUGAAAGUCCAGGGCUCAACCCUGGGAUGCCGGUGGAUACUGUCGGGCUCGAGUCCGGAAGAGGCGAGUGGAAUUCCUGGUGUAGCGGUGGAAUGCGCAGAUAUCAGGAGGAACACCAAUAGCGAAGGCAGCUCGCUGGGACGUUACUGACACUGAGGCGCGAAAGCGUGGGGAGCGAACAGG